UAGGGAAUCUUCGGCAAUGGACGGAAGUCUGACCGAGCAACGCCGCGUGAGUGAAGAAGGUUUUCGGAUCGUAAAGCUCUGUUGUAAGAGAAGAACGAGUGUGAGAGUGGAAAGUUCACACUGUGACGGUAUCUUACCAGAAAGGGACGGCUAACUACGUGCCAGCAGCCGCGGUAAUACGUAGGUCCCGAGCGUUGUCCGGAUUUAUUGGGCGUAAAGCGAGCGCAGGCGGUUAGAUAAGUCUGAAGUUAAAGGCUGCGGCUUAACCAUAGUACGCUUUGGAAACUGUUUAACUUGAGUGCAAGAGGGGAGAGUGGAAUUCCAUGUGUAGCGGUGAAAUGCGUAGAUAUAUGGAGGAACACCGGUGGCGAAAGCGGCUCUCUGGCUUGUAACUGACGCUGAGGCUCGAAAGCGUGGGGAGCAAACAGGAUUAGAUACCCUGGUAGUCCACGCCGUAAACGAUGAGUGCUAGGUGUUAGACCCUUUCCGGGGUUUAGUGCCGCAGCUAACGCAUUAAGCACUCCGCCUGGGGAGUACGACCGCAAGGUUG
rnacentral:rRNA from 1 species